UACAGAGGGGGCAAGCGUUGUUCGGAAUUACUGGGCGUAAAGGGCGCGUAGGCGGCCGCCUAAGUCAGACGUGAAAUCCCUCGGCUCAACCGGGGAACUGCGUCUGAUACUGGGUGGCUUGAAUCCGGGAGAGGGAUGCGGAAUGCCAGGUGUAGCGGUGAAAUGCGUAGAUAUCUGGAGGAACACCGGUGGCGAAGGCGGCAUCCUGGACCGGCAUUGACGCUGAGGCGCGAAAGCCAGGGGAGCAAACGGG
rnacentral:rRNA from 1 species